rnacentral:rRNA from 1 species
GGAUGAACGCUGGCGGCGUGCCUAAUACAUGCAAGUCGAACGCUUUGUGGUUCAACUGAUUUGAAGAGCUUGCUCAGAUAUGACGAUGGACAUUGCAAAGAGUGGCGAACGGGUGAGUAACACGUGGGAAACCUACCUCUUAGCAGGGGAUAACAUUUGGAAACAGAUGCUAAUACCGUAUAACAAUGACAACCGCAUGGUUGUUAUUUAAAAGAUGGUUCUGCUAUCACUAAGAGAUGGUCCCGCGGUGCAUUAGCUAGUUGGUAAGGUAAUGGCUUACCAAGGCGAUGAUGCAUAGCCGAGUUGAGAGACUGAUCGGCCACAAUGGGACUGAGACACGGCCCAUACUCCUACGGGAGGCAGCAGUAGGGAAUCUUCCACAAUGGGCGAAAGCCUGAUGGAGCAACGCCGCGUGUGUGAUGAAGGGUUUCGGCUCGUAAAACACUGUUGUAAGAGAAGAAUGACAUUGAGAGUAACUGUUCAAUGUGUGACGGUAUCUUACCAGAAAGGAACGGCUAAAUACGUGCCAGCAGCCGCGGUAAUACGUAUGUUCCAAGCGUUAUCCGGAUUUAUUGGGCGUAAAGCGAGCGCAGACGGUUAUUUAAGUCUGAAGUGAAAGCCCUCAGCUCAACUGAGGAAUUGCUUUGGAAACUGGAUGACUUGAGUGCAGUAGAGGAAAGUGGAACUCCAUGUGUAGCGGUGAAAUGCGUAGAUAUAUGGAAGAACACCAGUGGCGAAGGCGGCUUUCUGGACUGUAACUGACGUUGAGGCUCGAAAGUGUGGGUAGCAAACAGGAUUAGAUACCCUGGUAGUCCACACCGUAAACGAUGAGUGCUAGGUGUUUGAGGGUUUCCGCCCUUAAGUGCCGCAGCUAACGCAUUAAGCACUCCGCCUGGGGAGUACGACCGCAAGGUUGAAACUCAAAGGAAUUGACGGGGACCCGCACAAGCGGUGGAGCAUGUGGUUUAAUUCGAAGCAACGCGAAGAACCUUACCAGGUCUUGACAUCCCUUGACAACUCCAGAGAUGGAGCGUUCCCUUCGGGGACAAGGUGACAGGUGGUGCAUGGUUGUCGUCAGCUCGUGUCGUGAGAUGUUGGGUUAAGUCCCGCAACGAGCGCAACCCUUAUUACUAGUUGCCAGCAUUCAGUUGGGCACUCUAGUGAGACUGCCGGUGACAAACCGGAGGAAGGUGGGGAUGACGUCAAAUCAUCAUGCCCCUUAUGACCUGGGCUACACACGUGCUACAAUGGCGUAUACAACGAGUUGCCAACCCGCGAGGGUGAGCUAAUCUCUUAAAGUACGUCUCAGUUCGGAUUGUAGGCUGCAACUCGCCUACAUGAAGUCGGAAUCGCUAGUAAUCGCGGAUCAGCACGCCGCGGUGAAUACGUUCCCGGGUCUUGUACACACCGCCCGUCACACCAUGAGAGUUUGUAACACCCAAAGCCGGUGGGGUAACCUUCGGGAGCCAGCCGUCUAAGGUGGGACAGAUGAUUAGGGUGA